rnacentral:misc_RNA from 1 species
GCUUUCCUCACAAGGAUAUGGUUUGAGUUUGACCAAAAAAAGUUUGCAUCACAGAUCAUCAUGUGGCUUGGUCUCGCAUGGCUUUAGAAGCCGGCACGUCCAUAUGUCUAUCACCCAAAAAACAAUACUUUAAAAUGGCUUUCCCUCGCUUGCCUUUAAACCGCCAUCAAAGCUCCCACAUGAUCCAACGAUGGCGAUGGCUUCAGAAUCAGCCAUCCAUG